rnacentral:misc_RNA from 1 species
GUUCUGUGAUUACUUUUUCUUUGACAGAUACAUUCUCAGAGAACUCGUGUGACAUGAAAUGACAUAGGGAAGCCAAGAGGACCCGAAGAUGCCUCUGAAAUUUCCCUACAAGUAAGUGCACGGUUUUGUGUGAUGGAAAUUAUUAUGUGAAUGCUUAAGGGGAAAGGGAGUGCACGCUGCCUCCCGAGGGAGGCCAGCAACAUCCCUUUUCCCAAUUUGCCUCAGUAAUGAUCCUUCCGCAGGUUCACCUACGGAAA